rnacentral:rRNA from 1 species
AUUGAACGCUGGCGGCAGGCUUAACACAUGCAAGUCGAGCGGAGAUGAGGUGCUUGCACCUUAUCUUAGCGGCGGACGGGUGAGUAAUGCUUAGGAAUCUGCCUAUUAGUGGGGGACAACAUUCCGAAAGGAAUGCUAAUACCGCAUACGUCCUACGGGAGAAAGCAGGGGAUCUUCGGACCUUGCGCUAAUAGAUGAGCCUAAGUCGGAUUAGCUAGUUGGUGGGGUAAGGGCCUACCAAGGCGACGAUCUGUAGCGGGUCUGGGAGGAUGAUCCGCCACACUGGGACUGAGACACGGCCCAGACUCCUACGGGAGGCAGCAGUGGGGAAUAUUGGACAAUGGGGGGAACCCUGAUCCAGCCAUGCCGCGUGUGUGAAGAAGGCCUUAUGGUUGUAAAGCACUUUAAGCGAGGAGGAGGCUACUGAGACUAAUACUCUUGGAUAGUGGACGUUACUCGCAGAAUAAGCACCGGCUAACUCUGUGCCAGCAGCCGCGGUAACAC